UGUUUUACUUGGCGAACGGUUGUGAUUUUUUUCGAAGGCGGUUUUAAAGAAGAAUAAAGGUUUUGAAAAAAGACGUAAUUUACGCCGAAAAUUGAAAAUAUAAUUUCAGUGGAAAUGGAAAAAAAUUAAAAAUUAAUAGAUGGUGUUGGUAAACAGAAAAAUAAAUUAUAAAAGUGUAAUAAACAUUUAAGAUAAUUAAGCAAAAACCGAAUUUGAAUUCUUAGUGGAAGUUAAGUGAUUUUUGAAAAAUAACUAUAAAGAUGCUUAAUGCAAAACAAGUAGAAGUUUUACAUUUGGCUGUGCCAAAUUUUAAAUAUCCUUUACCAUGAUGUGUUUCAAAUCAAAAAAUAUUAGCUGAAAGAAGAACAAUUAAUUAUACAAAAACUGAAUUUGAAUUCUAAGUGGCAAAUAAGUGACAUUAAAAAAUUAAGUAAAAAUAAUAUUUUGAAAACUAAAAUAAAUUUACAUCUUCUACUGUGAAAAAGAGAGAAAUUACAAUAUGCUGAAAGUGUUUUUACGAAUUGACAGAAAUUUUUGACUUUCAAAACGUCCAAAUUUUAUUUGAAUACUUAGAAAUAAUAAUAAAAAAACAUGGAUAAAUAUGGAUUAAUCUUACUUAAGGAAUAAACUGAGAAAAGUAAUAAUCAACAAUAAAGCAGUAUUCGAUCGUAUAUUGAUCAUAUCUUAAAGAGAUGAUUUUAUGAUUUGAAAGUCCAAAAUAGCAAACAACUUGUACAACAUGAUGAAUAACAAACACUAUGAGAUAACAACUAAUCUUUCACAAAAGGACACCUUCAAAGAUCAUAUGUUUGUAAUUGAACUAAAAACGGGUGUAUAAGGCUUCCCUGGAUAUUUGCUUUCACUCAAGGAUGACCUCCAGAAACAUAAGUUUAUAAUUCAACUAAUAAUGGUUAUA
rnacentral:lncRNA from 1 species